rnacentral:rRNA from 1 species
AGUGAACGCUGGCGGUAGGCCUAACACAUGCAAGUCGAACGGCAGCACAGUAAGAUUUUGCUCUUACGGGUGGCGAGUGGCGGACGGGUGAGGAAUACAUCGGAAUCUACUUUUUCGUGGGGGAUAACGUAGGGAAACUUACGCUAAUACCGCAUAUGUCCUACGGGUGAAAGCAGUAGAUCUUCGCACCUUUCCCGUUUGUAUGAGCCGAUGUCGGAUUAGCUUGUUGGCUGGGUAAAGGCCCACCAAGGCGACGAUCCGUAGCUGGGCUGAGAGGAUGAUCGGCCACACUGGAACUGAGACACGGUCCAGACUCCUACGGGAGGCAGCAGUGGGGAAUAUUGGGCAAUGGGCGCAAGCCUGAUCCAGCCAUACCGCGUGGGUGAAGAAGGCCUUCGGGUUGUAAAGCCCUUUUGUUGGGGAAGAAAAGCAGCAGGUUAAUACCCCGCUGUUCUGACGGUACCCAAAGAAUAAGCACCGGCUAACUACGUG